GGGUCAGUAGGUUGGUCGUGCCACCGGUACGUACUGGUCUCAAUGAUUCCUCCUUCCUGAAGAACCGUAAUGCCAUUAAUUUUGUGUCGCGGGGAAACAGGACUGUUACUUUGAAAAAAUUAGAGUGUUUAAAGCAAGCUAACGCUUGAAUACAUUAGCAUGGAAUAAUGAAAUAGGACGAUCGAUCCUAUUUUGUUGGUUUCUAGGAUUGACGUA
rnacentral:rRNA from 1 species